rnacentral:lncRNA from 1 species
UGUCUCGGGCAACCUGUAAACAGCCCAAGAGUUAGAUAAAAUUGCUGCCUCAUUCUACUGAGAAAAAGGGCCACUGCAGGGGCCAUCCUGGAGGGAGUCACAAUGCAGGAGGACAGUGGCAAGUUCAAGAGCUACUGCAGCCGGGGAACAGCAGGACAGCAGCACGUUCAAGGGCUCUUGCAGCAGGGCAUAGCAGGGAAAGGCCUCCCUGGGUCUAACCAAUUUACUCCUAUUGAUUUUCAGAUCAGAGGGGUUCAGCUCACAAAUCAAAAGAUGGUUUUCCCUCCCUGCUGCUAAAUCUGCAGCCUCUCCCAGACACCUCACAAAUUCUGCUUUGAUCUUGAUUAGCCUGGAUGCUUCUAGGUUGGAAACUGUAUGGAGGAGGCAGAGAUCUAAAGGCUCUUUUUCUCAAUUGUCAAAUGGAAAUAAGAGCCAUUCCAGCCUUAUGGCUAAGGAACUGGAGCUUCAGAAUCAAACAGAACUGGGUUCAACUCCCACCUAUGUCCUGUGUUACCUCAGGCAAGUCACAUCACCUCUCUGAGCCUCCAUUCCUUCAUCUGAAAAAUAAGCUUCCAGCAAUUCUGGACUCUCAGAGUCAUUGUGAGAAUGACUCAAGAUGAUGCACAUAGAAGUAUUUAACACUUGAAUGGCUUCUAGCAAGAUCAGGAAACACCACCUAUUACUACUAAAUGGGGCUUUGGUAAGAAUAAAACAGAAUCAUGUGUGUAAAGUGCUUUGAAAAGUACAAAGGACUGAAAAGACUCUGAAGGCUUCUGGAAAUCAGUCUACCACAUUUUGGAGCUGGGGUUAGGAAAGACCCUUGGAAGAGGAUCCAAAGAAAGACACUCCAGAGCAAGAUAUAUAGGAGGCCCAAGGACAACCUGCAGUGCAGGGCAGGCCACUUUCUGGGGCUCCAGGUGUUUUCUAUAUGAUUGUGAUCUUGAUGCUCCCCACCUCACCCCACUGUCAGCCCCAAAAAUUCCCAUUGUAUACAAUUCCUUUUACAGGUGAGAGUCAUGCUGGUAACACCGCCUGUCAUCAGAGCCUUCCAGCUCUGGCAAGGACUGCUUCUUGCUAUGCCAACAACCAUUCUCACCUUCCUCCUUUAUAAAACGAUGCCAGUUGUAUUUAAGCGGCAAUAUUUCCCAGAUUCUGUUGAAUCUAGGUAUGGCCAGGUGACUAUGUUGUGGCCAACAAGAUGUAACUAGAAGUGUUUAUGGAGCUUUUGCAAAAACUCUUUGAAAAGAAAGUUAUUUCUCCCCCUUUUCCCCCUUUAU